rnacentral:lncRNA from 1 species
ACCUGCAGAAUUAAUAUGGCAUACACAUACACACCAUACAAGAUGACAAGCAUAUUACACAACGCAUGGUUACUUCCUACUAAGAUAACAACCUAAUUGCUUGCUUGGAUUGCUAGCAUCGUGGGAACGGUGCCUACUAAAAUUGUACUCCAUCCGACCAUUACUAGUUCUGUACUAACAUGAACAAGUAGAAGAGGAAUGUGAGACAUAUGUUGCAAGAUUCCUCCGUCAGUGGUGCCGUUCUUUAGUCGUCAGCUAGAGAAGCCCCUUGUUGCCCUUGAUUGCAGCACCGCCGGGCACCGGAUGCCGAUUGCCCAUGGCGACAGGGAAGAUGAGGCGCUGCUGGCCUGCAGCUCG